rnacentral:rRNA from 1 species
UACGAACUGUGCAAACGUUAUUCGGAAUCACUGGGCUUAAAGGGUGCGUAGGCGGCUGUCUAAGUAGGGUGUGAAAGCCCCCGGCUCAACCGGGGAAUUGCGCCCUAAACUGGAUGGCUGGAGUGAGGCAGGGGUGUGUGGAACUUCCGGUGGAGCGGUGAAAUGCAUAGAGAUCCGGAAGAACACCGACGGCGAAGGCAGCGUCCUGGCCGAGCACUGACGCUCAGGCACGAAAGCGCGGGGAGCAAACAGG